UACAGAGGUCUCAAGCGUUGUUCGGAUUCAUUGGGCGUAAAGGGUGCGUAGGCGGCGCGGUAAGUCGGGUGUGAAAUCUUGGAGCUUAACUCCGAAACUGCAUUCGAUACUGCCGUGCUUGAGGACUGGAGAGGAGACUGGAAUUUACGGUGUAGCGGUGAAAUGCGUAGAUAUCGUAAGGAAGACCAGUGGCGAAGGCGGAUCUCUGGACAGUGACUGACGCUGAGACGCGAAAGCGUGGGGAGCAAACAGG
rnacentral:rRNA from 1 species